rnacentral:rRNA from 1 species
GAUGAACGCUAGCGGGAGGCCUAAUACAUGCAAGUCGAGCGGUAGAGUGACUUCGGUUGCUUGAGAGCGGCGCACGGGUGAGUAACGCGUACAUGACCUACCUUUAAGACUGGGAUAGCCCUGGGAAACUGGGAUUAAUACCGGAUGUGAUAAUACGUAUAGAGAUGUAUUAUUAAAGUUGAGGCGCUUAGAGAUGGAUGUGCGUCUGAUUAGCUAGUUGGUAGGUAACGGCCUACCAAGGCGACGAUCAGUAGGGGGCGUGAGAGCGUGGCCCCCCACACGGGUACUGAGACACGGACCCGACUCCUACGGGAGGCAGCAGUAAGGAAUAUUGGUCAAUGGACGGAAGUCUGAACCAGCCAUCCCGCGUGCAGGAUGACUGCCCUAUGGGUUGUAAACUGCUUUUAGCAGAGACGAAACGCCUUCAUUUAUGAGGGUCUGACGGUAUCUGCAGAAUAAGCACCGGCUAACUCCGUGCCAGCAGCCGCGGUAAAG